UCUGAAAUCAUUUCCUCAGUUUCUCUCUUUCCUUCCCCUCCCCAUUUAUUAGUCCAUUCUCACACUGCCAAUAAAGGCAUACCUGAGACUGGGUAAUUUAUAAAGGAAAGAGGUUUAAUGGACUCACAUUCUAGGCCUUCCUUUGCAAGAGGUGCAAAUUGAUAAUCAGGCUCUGCUGAAAAGCCGGUUGUUUCUAUUUAAAAGUAANNNNNNNNNNAGCAGUGAACCCACUUCCCGGGUUCACGCCAUUCUCCUGCCUCAGCCUCCCAAGUAGCUGGGACUACAGGUGCCCGCCACCACGCAACUGCUCCAUGCUUAACCAUGUACUUCCUCUCCAUACCCAAUUAAAAGUCUCAUUUCGUUAGCACAGCUCAACUAAGUAUUGAAAAGAGAUGGGUUUGAACUCAUUCACAUUACUUUAUCUUUUGUGUUUGAAAGCUAUUUGUUAACCUAAAACAUCUCAUCAUAGUCCUUUAGACAGUUUAAGGGAAGAGGACUCGACAUGGUUCAAGG
rnacentral:lncRNA from 1 species